UACAGAGGUCUCAAGCGUUGUUCGGAUUCAUUGGGCGUAAAGGGUGCGUAGGCGGCGCGGUAAGUCGGGGUGUGAAAUCUCGGAGCUUAACUCCGAAAACUGCAUUCGAUACUGCCGUGCUUGAGGACUGGAGAGGAGACUGGAAUUCCUGGUGUAGCGGUGGAAUGCGCAGAUAUCAGGAGGAACACCCGUGGCGAAGGCGGCUCUCUGGGACGGUACUGACGCUGAGACGCGAAAGCGUGGGGAGCGAACAGG
rnacentral:rRNA from 1 species